GACGAACGCUGGCGGCGUGCUUAACACAUGCAAGUAGGACGCAGUUGAGAACGGGUGAGUAACGCGUAGGUAACUACCUAUUAGAGGGGGAUAACUAUUGGAAACGAUAGCUAAUACCGCAUACUAGUAGAUGGACAUGCGUUGUAUUAGCUAGUAGGUAGGGUAAUGGCCUAACAAGGAAACGAGACAUAGCCGACCUGGUAGGGGGAUCGGCUACACUGGGACUGAGACUAGGCCCAGCAUCCUACGGGAGGCAGCAGUAGGGAAUCUUCGGCAAUGGGGGCAACCUUGACCGGGCAACGCCGCGUGAGUGAAGAGGGUUGUCGGAUCGUAAAGCUCGGGUGUUAAGGAAGCGGUACUUAACCAGAAGGGGACGGCUAACUACGUGCCAGCAGCCGCGGUAAUUC
rnacentral:rRNA from 1 species